GAGAAUGUGGGAAAGAGGAAAGGGGAUGAGACAAUGUCAGAAAAGCUUAUGGAUUUUAUUUCAAGGUAUCUAGGAUUGAGUUAACACUGAUCCAGAAAACCCACAGUGAAAAUUGAGUUGAUUUGACUCACCCCUACUACAGAAAGAAAUAAGCACUCAUGGCAUAUUUUUUAACUUUUUCAUCUGGACACACCUUGAAAGACUGUACAAAGUAAACAUCUCACACAUUGUUUUCUUGA